rnacentral:rRNA from 1 species
CGCGGCCUAUCAGCUUGUUGGUGAGGUAAUGGCCUACCAAGGCGUCGACGGGUAGCUGGUCUGAGAGGAUGAUCAGCCACACUGGGACUGAGACACGGCCCAGACUCCUACGGGAGGCAGCAGUGGGGAAUCUUGCGCAAUGGGCGAAAGCCUGACGCAGCAACGCCGCGUGCGGGAAGAAGGCCCUAGGGUUGUAAACCGCUUUCAGUAGGAACGAAAAUGACGGUACCUGCAGAAGAAGGUGCGGCCAACUACGUGCCAGCAGCCGCGGUGACACGUAGGCACCAAGCGUUGUCCGGAUUUAUUGGGCGUAAAGAGCUCGUAGGCGGUUCAGUAAGUCGGGUGUGAAAACUCUGGGCUUAACCCAGAGCCGCCACUCGAUACUGCUGUGACUUGAGUUCGGUAGGGGAGCAGGGAAUUCCUAGUGUAGCGGUGAAAUGCGCAGAUAUUAGGAGGAACACCGGUGGCGAAGGCGCUGCUCUGGGCCGAUACUGACGCUGAGGAGCGAAAGCGUGGGUAGCAAACAGGAUUAGAUACCCUGGUAGUCCACGCCGUAAACGUUGGGCACUAGGUGUGGGUUCCAACCAACGGAAUCCGCGCCGUCGCUAACGCAUUAAGUGCCCCGCCUGGGGAGUACGG